rnacentral:rRNA from 1 species
GCGUGCGUCCUAUUAGCUAGUUGGUGAGGCAAUGGCUCACCAAGGCUACGAUGGGUAGGGGUUCUUAGUGGAAGAUCCCCCACACUGGCACUGAGAUACGGGCCAGACUCCUACGGGAGGCAGCAGUAGGGAAUAUUGGUCAAUGGGCGAAAGCCUGAACCAGCCAUGCCGCGUGCAGGAUGACAGCUCUCUGAGUUGUAAACUGCUUUUGUACAGGAGCAAAACAAUCCCUGCGGGGGUUCUUGAGAGUACUGUAAGAAUAAGCACCGGCUAAUUCCGUGCCAGCAGCCGCGGUAAUACGGAAGGUGCAAGCGUUAUCCGGUUUUAUUGGGUUUAAAGGGUGCGUAGGCGGCUUAUUAAGUCAGUUGUGAAAUCCUAGUGCUUAACGCUAGAACUGCAAUUGAUACUAUUAGGCUUGAGUUAA